rnacentral:rRNA from 1 species
AGAACGAACGCUGGCGGCGCGCCUAAUACAUGCAAGUCGAGCGAGAAGACGUAGCAAUACGUUUGUAAAGCGGCGAACGGGUGAGGAAUACAUGGGCAACCUACCCUCGAGUGGGGGAUAACGUAGCCGAAAGGUUAGCUAAUACCGCGUACGCUCCUUGGACUUCGGUUCAGGGAGGAAAGCGAUACCGUGGGUAUCGCGCUCUUGGAUGGGCUCAUGUCCUAUCAGCUUGUUGGNGAGGUAACGGCUCACCAAGGCUUCGACGGGUAGCUGGUCUGAGAGGACGACCA